rnacentral:rRNA from 1 species
UUAAGCUAGUAAGAGCGUAGGGUGAAUGCCUAGGCACCAAAAGCCGAAGAAAGACGUGAUAAGCUGCGAAAAGCUAUGGGGAGGAGCAAAUAUCCAGAGAUCCAUAGAUAUCUGAAUGGGGAAACCCAUCAAAUGGUAAAGCAUUUGAUAUCCAUACAUGAAUACAUAGUGUAUGAGAAGGGAGACGGAGUGAACUGAAACAUCUAAGUAACUCCAGGAAAAGAAAAAGACAUUGAUUCCGAAAGUAGUGGCGAGCGAAAUCGGAGAAGCCCAAACCAGAGGUAGAAAUACCACUGGGGUUGAGGACUACAACAAGUUACUAAAAGUCAUAGUAGAAUUGUUUUGGAAAAGCAAACCAAAGGGAGUGAAAGUCUCGUAUACGAAAUGGCUUGAAGGACGAGUAGAAUCCAGAGUACGGCAGGGCACGUGAAAUCCUGUCGGAAGCAGGCCGGACCACCGGCCAAGGCUAAAUACUAAUUGGUGACCGAUAGUGAAGCAGUACCGUGAGGGAAAGUUGAAAAGAACCCCGGGAGGGGAGUGAAAUAGAACCUGAAACCCUAUGUUUACAAGCAGACAAAGCACGUUAAGGUGCGAUGUCGUACUUUUUGUAGAACGGUCCGGCGAGUUACGUGUAUGAUGCGAGGUUAAAUACUGUGUAAGGUAUGAAGCCGAAGGGAAACCGAGUGUGAAUAGCGCGAAGAUAUAGUAUCAUGCAGUAGACCCGAAACCGAGUGACCUAUCCAUGAGCAGGUUGAAGCUUGAGUAAAAUCAAGUGGAGGACCGAACCGGUAUUCGUUGAAAAGGAUUCGGAUGACUUGUGGAUAGCGGAGAAAUUCCAAUCGAACUCGGAGAUAGCUGGUUCUCCUCGAAAUAGCUUUAGGGCUAGCCUUGUUUAGUAGCAUGUGGAGGUAAAGCACUGAAUAUGUGAGGGUUCUUACCAGAAUACCGAUCAUUAUCAAACUCUGAAUGCCAUGUGUGUAAGAACAGGAGUCAGACAGUGACAGCUAAGUGCCAUUGUCAAAAGGGAAAGAGCCCAGACCAACAGCUAAGGUCCCAAAAUUGUAGUUAAGUGGAAAAGGAUGUGGGAAUUCAUAGACAACCAGGAUGUUGGCUCAGAAGCAGCCAUUCAUUUAAAGAGUGCGUAAAAGCUCACUGGUCGAAGUAGGCCUGCGCCGAAAAUUACCGGGGCUAAACUACAUACCGAAGCUUUGGAUUUGGUACGUAAAGUAUUAAGUGGUAGAGGAGCGUUGUAUAAAGAUUGAAGCUAUACUGAAAAGAGUAGUGGACGAUAUACAAGAGAGAAUGCCGGAAUAAGUAGCGAGAGCACAGUGAGAAUCUGUGCCGCCGAAAACCUAAGGUUUCCUGGGGAAGGUUCGUCCGCCCAGGGUAAGUCGGGACCUAAGACGAGGCUAAAGCAGCGUAGUCGAUGGAAAGCAGGUAAAAGAUUCCUGCACUACCGAAAUGCGAUAUACAAUAUAUCAUGACGCAUCAGAAGAGUCUAAGCGAGCAAAUGGAAAAGUUCGUACCGCAAGGUGGAGUGAAAAAUAGUAACGAAGUAGAUAAAUCAGGUGACAAGAAAAGUGAUAUAGGAGCAUAGAGGUACUCGUACCGUAAACCGACACAGGUAGGAAGAAAGAGAAUUUUCAGGCGAACGAGAGAAUCAUUGUUAAGGAACUCGGCAAAUUAACCCCGUAACUUAGGGAUAAGGGGAGCCAAUAGCGAUAUUGGUCGCAGAGAAAUGGCCCAAGCAACUGUUUAGCAAAAACACAGGUUUCUGCCAAAUCGAAAGAUGAAGUAUAGGAGCUGACGCCUGCCCAGUGCUGGAAGGUCAAGGGGAAGAGUAAACGUUUCGAUGUGAAGCUCUGAACUUAAGCCCCAGUGAACGGCGGCCGUAACUAUAACGGUCCUAAGGUAGCGAAAUUCCUUGUCAGGUAAGUUCUGACCCGCACGAAAGGCGUAAUGAUUUG